rnacentral:rRNA from 1 species
GAACGCUGGCGGCGUGCUUAACACAUGCAAGUCGAACGAAGCACUUUUUCUUGAUUCUUCGGAUGAAAGAGAUUGUGACUGAGUGGCGGACGGGUGAGUAACGCGUGGGUAACCUGCCUCAUACAGGGGGAUAACAGUUAGAAAUGACUGCUAAUACCGCAUAAGCGCACAGUAUCGCAUGGUACAGUGUGAAAAACUCCGGUGGUAUGAGAUGGACCCGCGUCUGAUUAGCUAGUUGGUGAGGUAACGGCUCACCAAGGCAACGAUCAGUAGCCGGCCUGAGAGGGUGAACGGCCACAUUGGGACUGAGACACGGCCCAAACUCCUACGGGAGGCAGCAGUGGGGAAUAUUGCACAAUGGGGGAAACCCUGAUGCAGCGACGCCGCGUGAGUGACGAAGUAUUUCGGUAUGUAAAGCUCUAUCAGCAGGGAAGAAAAUGACGGUACCUGACUAAGAAGCACCGGCUAAAUACGUG